CCUACGGGUGGCAGCAGUGGGGAAUAUUGGACAAUGGGGGGAACCCUGAUCCAGCGACGCCGCGUGAGUGAAGAAGUAUUUCGGUAUGUAAAGCUCUAUCAGCAGGGAAGAAAGAAAUGACGGUACCUGACUAAGAAGCCCCGGCUAACUACGUGCCAGCAGCCGCGGUAAUACGUAGGGGGCAAGCGUUAUCCGGAUUUACGGGGUGGAAAGGGAGCGUAGACGGCGAUGCAAGUCUGAAGUGAAAGGCGGGGGCUCAACCCGCGGACUGCUUUGGAAACUGUGUGGCUGGAGUGCAGGAGAGGUGAGUGGAAUUCCUAGUGUAGCGGUGAAAUGCGUAGAUAUUAGGAGGAACACCAGUGGCGAAGGCGGCUUACUGGACUGUAACUGACGUUGAGGCUCGAAAGCGUGGGGAGCAAACAGGAUUAGAUACCCUAGUAGUC
rnacentral:rRNA from 1 species